AGUCAUAUGCUUGUCUCAAAGAUUAAGCCAUGCAUGUCUAAGUUACAGGCUUGUGCAAAGUGAAACUGCGAAUGGCUCAUUAAAUCAGUUGUGGUUCCUCAGAUCGUUUUACAGUUUGGAUAACUGUGGCAAUUCUAGAGCUAAUACAUGCGAAUAGUCUCUGCCCCGCAAGGGGAGGAGCGCUUUUAUUAGACCAAAACCAACGGGUCGGGCUUCGGUCAGGCUCUACGUUGUGGUGACUCUGGAUAACUUUGUGCUGAUCGCACGGCCCACGCGCCGGCGACAGAUCUUUCAAAUGUCUGCCCUAUCAAUUGUCGAAGGUAAGCGAUAUGCCUACCUUGAUGGUAACGGGUAACGGAGAAUAAGGGUUCGACUCCGGAGAGGGAGCAUGAGAAACGGCUACCACAUCCAAGGAAGGCAGCAGGCGCGCAAAUUACCCACUCCUGACACGGGGAGGUAGUGACGAAAACUAACAAUACGGGACUCAUAUGAGGCCCCGUAAUUGGAAUGAGUACACUUUAAAUCCUUUAACGAGGAUCUACUAGAGGGCAAGUCUGGUGCCAGCAGCCGCGGUAAUUCCAGCUCUAGCAGCGUAUAUUAAAGUUGUUGCAGUUAAAAAGCUCGUAGUUGGAUCUCGGGUUGUCGGCGGCGGUUCCGGUCACGCCUGUUUACUGCCGACSAUACCUAACAGGCGGGACGCACCGGGUGCCCUUAACUGGGUCGCCCGCCGCGCCCGCCCCGUUUACUUUGGAAAAAUUAGAGUGUUCAAAGCAGGCUCUCACGCCUGAAUAACGGUGCCUGGAAUAAAGGAAAACGACCCGGAUCUUUUUUUGUUGUUGGAUGAAUUUGGCGUAAUGAUUAAGAGGGACAGCCGGGGGCAUUCGUAUUGCGGUGUGAGAGGUGAAAUUCUGGAUCGCCGCAAGACGAACUACUGCGAAAGCAUUUGCCAAGAAUGUUUUCAUUAAUCAAGAACGAAAGUCAGAGGUUCGAAGACGAUCAGAUACCGUCCUAGUUCUGACCAUAAACAAUGCCCACUGGCGAUCGGCCGGCGUUGUUUCAAUGACCUUGCUGGCAGCCUCCGGGAAACCAAAGUCUUUGGGUUCCGGGGGAAGUAUGGUUGCAAAGCUGAAACUUAAAGGAAUUGACGGAAGGGCACCACCAGGAGUGGAGCCUGCGGCUUAAUUUGACUCAACGCGGGAAAUCUUACAAGGCCCGGACAGCGUAAGGAUUGACAGAUUGAGAGCUCUUUCUUGAUUCGGUGGAUGGUGGUGCAUGGCCGUUCUUAGUUGGUGGAGCGAUUUGUCUGGUUAAUUCCGAUAACGAACGAGACUCUGGCCUGCUAAAUAGUGCGCCGGUGCAUACGCUCGCCGGCGAUCACUUCUUAGAGGGACAAGUGGCUCUUAGCCACGCGAGAUUGAGCAAUAACAGGUCUGUGAUGCCCUUAGAUGUCCUUGGCAGCACGCGCGCUACACUGAAAGAAUCAGCAUGUGCUGAUCCUGGUCCGGAAGGGCCGGGUAAUCGUUUGAAUCUCUUUCGUGCUAGGGACUGGGGCUUGAAAUUCUUGCCCAUGAACGAGGAAUAUCUAGUAAGCACGAGUCAUCAUCUCGUGUUGAUUGCGUCCCUGCCAUUUGUACACACCGCCCGUCGCUACUACCGAUUGAACGGUUUAGUGAGACCCUCGGACUCGUCCCGGUGCGGCAGUUCGCUGCUGCGCCGCGGUCGCGGGGAAGACGGUCGAACUUAAUCAUUUAGAGGAAGUAAAAGUCC
rnacentral:rRNA from 1 species